GCGAACGGGUGAGUAACACGUGGGCAAUCUGCCCUUCACUCUGGGACAAGCCCUGGAAACGGGGUCUAAUACCGGAUAUGACACACGACCGCAUGGUCUGUGUGUGGAAAGCUCCGGCGGUGAAGGAUGAGCCCGCGGCCUAUCAGCUUGUUGGUGGGGUAAUGGCCUACCAAGGCGACGACGGGUAGCCGGCCUGAGAGGGCGACCGGCCACACUGGGACUGAGACACGGCCCAGACUCCUACGGGAGGCAGCAGUGGGGAAUAUUGCACAAUGGGCGAAAGCCUGAUGCAGCGACGCCGCGUGAGGGAUGACGGCCUUCGGGUUGUAAACCUCUUUCAGCAGGGAAGAAGCGAGAGUGACGGUACCUGCAGAAGAAGCGCCGGCUAACUACGUGCCAGCAGCCGCGGUAAUACGUAGGGCGCAAGCGUUGUCCGGAAUUAUUGGGCGUAAAGAGCUCGUAGGCGGCUUGUCACGUCGGAUGUGAAAGCCCGGGGCUUAACCCCGGGUCUGCAUUCGAUACGGGCAGGCUAGAGUUCGGUAGGGGAGAUCGGAAUUCCUGGUGUAGCGGUGAAAUGCGCAGAUAUCAGGAGGAACACCGGUGGCGAAGGCGGAUCUCUGGGCCGAUACUGACGCUGAGGAGCGAAAGCGUGGGGAGCGAACAGGAUUAGAUAC
rnacentral:rRNA from 1 species